AGGCGUUUUUAUUAUACAGAGCUGAAUGUCAUUUCUCGUCUGUAGUUUUCUGGCACUCAUUCCAUUUUCCUAUAGACAUCACCAUGUUUCUCUCAAGUUUAAAACAAAACAAAACAAAACAUUCCGUUUUGGUCUUUUUCCAAAAAAAAAAAAAGAGAAAAGAAAAGAAAAAAAAAGAUCCCAAAGGCUGCACCUUACACCUGAAGGUCCCCACACGGGGACAUGACAUCCUGCCAGUAAGAGAAUGAAUGACAGAAAAGGAAAGAGAGAAACGCACGCGCGCACACUCUAGGGACAUGGCAGAUUCAUUUCACAAAAACAGUAUUGGGGGUGGGAUGGGGGACUGUUGGAGGUUUUUCUUUUUUUUCUUUUUCAUAGCACCCACCAUUGUGAGUAACUGCCACCACAUUCUCUCAGCAUCAGGAAACACAGCCACGAAAGAAACAGAAGAGAAUAAACAAUCCUCAAUAGUUAGACUGUCACAGUGGCCAUGGAAGAUCUUCCCUCCUAUAAUCAGGUGACCAGGACCACAGGCCCUGUGCCAUCCUCACCCGCACAGGUUGCUCUGUUUGCAAAAUGACCAAAAAGCCAGCAUGGUGACAGGGCUAAGUUUGUACAGUAGUUCAGACCUGCUCGGUGGCAUUCAUCUGUUUUAAUGCAAAUGAGACUUCACAUUGAACUUGUUAUGGGAGUUAAUGAGGACUGAGCUCAGCAGACGCUAAUGUGUCAGGUUCCAGUGUGCUAAGUCGGUACUGCAGCUUGGUCUGCAAUGUGAGCACCACACCCACCACCCCAGUAGCACAGACUUCACGGAAGAGGACACCAGGUAGACAGACCAGGGCCCACAGAAUGAGAUGGCUCUAGGUCAAUAUGCCCUCGGCCCUUCAAACCCCUCCACAUUUCCGUCUGCACCCGCUUCCCUGGCAUGUAUUUAUCUGGGGCUGUAGCUUUUGUUUGGGUUUAGUUUGAGAGCCUUUCGGAGCUUAAUUUAUAUACUUUGUACCUUUUUUUAUUUCUAAAAUUACCAAAGAUAUUACGCAAAGGUAAAUUAUUUUCUUUUAUACUUUAUCUGAUGAAGCCAAAUAUCCUCUUAUUGUUGAUCAAAGGAGGCGAAAGGAUUCAGAGGCAAAUGAUGAGGUCCAGGCUAUUUGCCAACCUGAGGGAAAUUACUGCCCGUCAGCAGAGUUCAUUUAGCAGACUAUGUAGGCAAUGGAACCAAAGUUUUUUACUUUUUUUUUCCUGUUUUUUUUUUUUUUCUCUUUCCUUCUUUUCUCUACCUGUAGAGAGACCAAAACUAACUCCUAUAAGGAGAAAAUCCGGGGCUACUGCAGAGAAAAGAAAUCAAGACAACAGUAUUAUAGCUCCUGUGGAAAGAAUGGGCUAGCAUCUCAAAGAAAAAGAAAUGAAUGUAUGAUGCUGAAAAUUAGUAUAUAAUCGAGGAGACACUUAGGAUGAAUUCAGAGAGAACGGAGAAGUGUCUGGCCGCUCGAGGCCACUUCUAGAAUAAAGAGAUUUUUAGAACAUUCGUACGCCACUUUUGUUUAAGGGCUGUGCUCUGAUCACUGCGUUAAUCUUGGUUUAUCCUGGCAUUUAUCCUCUGGUUUCCUUCUGCUUUUUGUUGAUGUUUUGUUUUAUUUUUUUCCUAUUUCAGAUUAUGAUUUGGUCAGUGUUUUUCAUUUACACACAAAAAAAGCUAACAUUCCCACCCACUCAUAAGCUUAGAGUAGAACACCUUUGGCAAUGACUUCUGAAGGUUUGCUCUGCUUUCUAUAGAGGGGCGGUCUGUGGUUAUUCAUGCCCCCUCCACCACCACCCCACCCAUCUUUUCCAGGCAGCUUCACAGUGUGCAGGCAGUAGCCAGGCCGGGUCAUGGGAAGGGGGCCCUGUGCUUCUAAACUGAGUGGUUGCUGGUUAGAUAUACAAAAGAGGAUAAAACUCUGGUAGGUUAGUUCAUUCUCAGCAUGUGUAGCUAGACAAGAGUAAAGAUAACAGCAUGGGGACUGUUAGUACGCACACCUCAGUUCAAACCUUUAGGGAAUGAGUUUAAAAAAAAAAUUAAAAAUAUACCUUUCACUCAGUCGUACUUAGUCGUAUGUCUUGCAUGCUUAGUCUAAAGACUGUAGCAAAGAAAAUAAAUAAAAGAGAAAAAAUUAGAUUUUAUGUAUCUUUUCAGGUGUCAUAGCCUGGCAGAAGAACCAACUGAAAAAAAAAAAAAAAGUUCUCAGGCUUUACAGCAAGCAAUCUUCACUCUGAUUUUUAGAAUUCUGAUUCUGUCCCUCGGGGGGUUCCCGCUUCGUUUGAAUGGGGUUGAUUCGGUUGUACAUAUAUCCCGAUGUGUCUGUGUGCAUCUUUGUCUUUUGCGGGGGAGGGCCGAGGGGAGGGUUUUUUUGGUUUCGUUUUGUUUUGUUUUGUUUUAAUUAUUUUAUUUUUUAGGUAUUGUUCCUAAAAAGGAAUAAAUGCAUACACCUGUUUGUC
rnacentral:lncRNA from 1 species